UUUCCGAAUUGCAAAGAAUGAAAUGUCACGGAUGAACUAGAGCCAUCUACCGAAAAACAAAGUAAAUUAUCAAUCGAAGUAGCACAGAAAACGACAAUAAAUAUCGUUCCCAUGCCACCAGAUUGACAACAGGUGGAAUACUUUCUUUGGUUACAACCUCCCGAGAUUUUCAAAAUUUAUAAAUCAUACAGGAUGCCGAGGAAAUUAAGAUGAGAGAAUUUUAAAUAAUUCAUAACUCAUCUGCUCAGCGUGGUAAAAGUUCCAACAAGAAA